CUACGGGAUGCUCCAGUGAGGAAUUUUGCGCAAUGGGGGAAACCCUGACGCAGCAACGCCGCGUGAGUGAAGAAGGCUUUCGGGUCGUAAAGCUCUGUCAGAUAGGAAAAAAGUUCAUAUGUAAAUAGCUUAUGAAUCUGAUGGUACUAUCAGAGGAAGCACCGGCUAACUCCGUGCCAGCAGCCGCGGUAAUACGGAGGGUGCAAGCGUUGUUCGGAAUUACUGGGCGUAAAGGGCGUGUAGGCGGUAUGGUAAGUCAGAUGUGAAAGCCCUGGGCUUAACUCAGGAAGUGCAUUUGAUACUGGCAUCCUUGAGUAUGGGAGAGGAGAGUAGAAUUCCCAGUGUAGAGGUGAAAUGCGUAGAUAUUGGGAGGAAUACCCGUGGCGAAGGCGACUCUCUGGACCAAUACUGACGCUGAGACGCGAAAGCGUGGGGAGCAAACAGGAUUAGAUACCCCCGUAGUA
rnacentral:rRNA from 1 species